AUCAAAUCCCAUUCAACAUUAGAUUAGUGGUCCAUAAUUCUACAAUGAUAAAAGAACGAUUCAGCUCUCAACAUAAACAUAGUAAUGCCUUCAGGCCAAGCUAAACAUAAACCACCAGCCAGACCCUGGGGCUUUACAAACAUCAUAUCAAAAGACCCACAUUUAUUUAAUCUGGAUUUUACAAAAGAGGAGCAGUUUUUAGUUUCCAUUAGAAAGAUAAUCUCUAAGGAUUGAGAUCUAUAAAUCCCUUUAAGAUACUAUAUUAUCAGGGGGUUCCCCAAACCAUGACAAUUCUAGCUUAGAACUCUCAUUUGGCUGGGUGGUCCAUUUGAGGCUGGCUACCUCCACCCCAUCAGAUUGAGAUGCAUCUUUGGUUAUCUUGAUUGCUGGAUAAUUUAUGAUGAAGAGGAUAAGCUUUAAGAGAAUGAUUCAGAAUUCUUGCAGAGUGGAACCAUGUAAUACCAGAUACGAGAUAGAUCUUCCAAAGAACAAGGCUUUUUAUGAAUAAGCCAAUUCAUUUGGGACCCUGUGGAUCCACUCUUUUUUAUGAACAGUUUUUGAAAUUGUCA
rnacentral:misc_RNA from 1 species